CCUACGGGCGGCAGCAGUGGGGAAUAUUGCACAAUGGGCGCAAGCCUGAUGCAGCCAUGCCGCGUGUGUGAAGAAGGCCUUCGGGUUGUAAAGCACUUUCAGCGGGGAGGAAGGCGUUAAGGUUAAUAACCUUGUCGAUUGACGUUACCCGCAGAAGAAGCACCGGCUAACUCCGUGCCAGCAGCCGCGGUAAUACGGAGGGUGCAAGCGUUAAUCGGAAUUACUGGGCGUAAAGCGCACGCAGGCGGUCUGUCAAGUCGGAUGUGAAAUCCCCGGGCUCAACCUGGGAACUGCAUUCGAAACUGGCAGGCUGGAGUCUUGUAGAGGGGGGUAGAAUUCCAGGUGUAGCGGUGAAAUGCGUAGAGAUCUGGAGGAAUACCGGUGGCGAAGGCGGCCCCCUGGACAAAGACUGACGCUCAGGUGCGAAAGCGUGGGGAGCAAACAGGAUUAGAUACCCGUGUAGUC
rnacentral:rRNA from 1 species